rnacentral:sRNA from 1 species
AAAAAAAAAAAAAAAAAAAACAACUUAGAAGACAGCUGGCCUCUUCGAGGUACUUAAUCUGCUCCAAAACCAACAAUAAUCAUCACCGCUAUUGUAGAGAACCUGGAAUCAACCACUAGGCUAAAACCUUUUAAGCAUUUGAUGGCACUGAAGCACCAAAGGGCCCAUAAUCAGAUGGAGGUGGAAGGUUAGUUGAUGCCAUGACCACCGAUUUAAGUAGUGCUGCACCCGCUAGAUAGUUACAAAUUUACAACGAGCCAUCCUUAAAAGUGUGGGAUAAUCUGUUGCCGAAGCUAGCUAACCAUUAGGCCACCGGGACAAAA